GCCCGCCUAGCUCAAUCGGAUAGAGCGUCAGACUCUUAUGAGCGCGGGACCAUAUUCACCUUGCUAAAAGAUGAUCUGAAGGCUGCGAGUUCGACCCUCGCGGUGGGCU
rfam:Phanerochaete carnosa HHB-10118-sp unplaced genomic scaffold PHACAscaffold_2, whole genome shotgun sequence.